rnacentral:rRNA from 1 species
GACGUAGGGGGCAAGCGUUGUUCGGAAUUAUUGGGCGUAAAGCGCUCGUAGGCGGGAUCGAAAGUCCGUGUUGAAAGACCUCGGCUCAACUGAGGGACCGGCUCGGAUACUUCGAUUCUUGAGGCAAUCAGAGGGUGAUGGAAUUCCCGGUGUAGCGGUGAAAUGCGUAGAUAUCGGAAGGAACACCAGUGGCGAAAGCGGCUUCCUGGUCCAGCACCGACGUUCAGGCACGAAAGCGUGGGGAGCAAACAGG